rnacentral:sRNA from 1 species
UAAGAAAAACGUCCAGACGCUCCAUGGU